GCCUUGCAUUUCUUUUCAUUUUCAGAAAAAUUUCAUUUUGUGAACAAUUAAAAACAUGAAGGGGAUAGCCUUGCAUUCGUUAUUUAUUAAUUUUCAGAAAAUUUUCAUUUUUGUGAAAAACUAAAAUUUUUGGGGGGUGAGCCUUUCAUACAAUAUUUAUUAACUUUUAGAAAAUUUUCCUCUGUGCAAAAAAUAAGAAUUUGGAAAGGGUUAGCCUUGGCUUUCAAUUACCAGAACAUUUUCAUUUACCGAAAAAUUUAAAUUUGAAUGAGGUAAGCCUUAAAUGAAUUCAGAGUUUUUCAGCAAAGAGGUGUGGCAGUGAUGCAUGAGGAAAGUCAAGGAAACGUCGAAGAGUGGCACGUCUGAGACUCGACUUUAUUAGGGCCAGGCUAAUGGACUAUACCUCCGUAUACGUGGCCCUACUCCUAAGCUAGAAACAAGUGGAGGAAGGCUUAAACAUUAAAGCUCCCCGGCCGUAAAUGGUAUCAGCCAUAUACAGAUUUUCAUAGGCAGUGAACAUGUGCAACUCCAGACACCAGCAGUUGUGAUCUCUGAGAACGUUAAUUACUGAACACCACAUCAGGUCUGCCUUGUAAUCGAAAACAACCUAUAGGCUUGCAACGCAUUGGCACACUUUGAUGCUGGACCCCACACCUGCAUACACACCUGGCAGCUGGCAAUCGGAGAGCCAAAUUAAAGACUGAAGAGACUGCACAGUGCUGGAUGUUAUACACUUUGUAGACAUGAUGACAACUGUUUUCUGGCUGAGAACAUAACCAACGGCACAUGGAAACUUACCGCGACAUUCCUUCAUGUCAAUCUAUGAUGCACUGGGCAAUCAACAGCAGACAAACUGGCCAUGUUGAGACAAUGGGAGCUGGUUUCAUUGGA